rnacentral:rRNA from 1 species
UGAGUACGAGAUGCUACGGCAUUGAAGCAGUCUAUGUCAUACUUCCAAGAAAAGCUUGCACUGUCAUAAACAAAUAAUGCCUGUACCAUAACCGACACAGGUGGGUAGGUAGAGUAUACUAAGGGGCGCGAGAUAACUCUCUCUAAGGAACUCGGCAAAAUGACUCCGUAACUUCGGGAGAAGGAGUGCCUUAUUUUAUAAGGUUGCAAUAACAAGAUCCAAGCAACUGUUUACCAAAAACACAGGUCUCCGCUAAGUCGUAAGACGAUGUAUGGGGGCUGACGCCUGCCCAGUGCCAGAAGGUUAAAGAAGUUGGUUAGCAUUAGCGAAGCUGAUAACUGAAGCCCUGGUGAACGGCGGCCGUAACAAUAACGGUCCUAAGGUAGCGAAAUUCCUUGUCGGGUAAGUUCCGACCCGCACGAAAGGCGUAAUGAUUUGGAUUCUGUCUCGGAGAGGGGCUCGGUGAAAUAGACUUGUCUGUGAAGAUGCGGACUACCUGCACCAGGACAGAAAGACCCUAUGAAGCUUUACUGUAACUUGAGAUUGAAAUUGGACUUUAUUUGCGCAGUAUAGGUGGGAGACGUUGAAAAUAUUCUUGCGGGAAUAUUGGAGUCAUCAGUGAGAUACCACUCUUAUAAUGUUAGAUUUCUAACUUUGUAUCAUUAUCUGGUCAAAGAACAGUCUCAGGCGGGCAGUUUGACUGGGGCGGUCGCCUCCUAAACGGUAACGGAGGCGCACAAAGGUUUCCUCUGAACGUGUAGAAAUCGUAUCUAGAGUGUAAAGGCAUAAGGAAGCUUGACUGUGAGACCUACAAGUCGAGCAGGGACGAAAGUCGGUCUUAGUGAUCUGACGGUGCUGAGUGGAAAGGCCGUCACUCAACGGAUAAAAGUUACUCUAAGGAUAACAGGCUGAUCUCCCCCAAGAGUUCACAUCGACGGGGAGGUUUGGCACCUCGAUGUCGGCUCAUCGCAUCCUGGGGCGGUAGUACGUCCCAAGGGUUGGGCUGUUCGCCCAUGAAAGCGGUACGCGAGCUGGGUUCAGAACGUCGUGAGACAGUUCGGUCCAUAUCCGGUGUAGGCGUUAGAAUAUUGAGAGGAGCCUUCUUUAGUACGAGAGGACCGAGAAGGACAUACCUCUGGUGUACCAGUUAUCGUGCCAACGGUAAACGCUGGGUAGCUAUGUAUGGAGAGGAUAACCGCUGAAAGCAUCUAAGUGGGAAGCCCACCUCAAGAUAAGUAUUCUC